UACGAAGGGGGCUAGCGUUGUUCGGAAUUACUGGGCGUAAAGCGCACGUAGGCGGAUCGAUCAGUCAGGGGUGAAAUCCUGGAGCUCAACUCCAGAACUGCCUUCGAUACUGGCGAUCUAGAGUCCGGAAGAGGUGAGUGGAACUCCUAGUGUAGAGGUGGAAUUCGUAGAUAUUAGGAGGAACACCGGUGGCGAAGGCGGCAUCCUGGACCAACACUGACGCUGAGGAGCGAAAGCCAGGGGGAGCAAAACGGG
rnacentral:rRNA from 1 species